UACGUAGGGUGCAAGCGUUAAUCGGAAUUACUGGGCGUAAAGCGUGCGCAGGCGGUUAUGUAAGACAGGUGUGAAAUCCCCGGGCUUAACCUGGGAACUGCAUUUGUGACUGCAUAGCUAGAGUACGGUAGAGGGGGAUGGAAUUCCGCGUGUAGCAGUGAAAUGCGUAGAUAUGCGGAGGAACACCGAUGGCGAAGGCAAUCCCCUGGACCUGUACUGACGCUCAUGCACGAAAGCGUGGGGAGCAAA
rnacentral:rRNA from 1 species